CAGAAUCAGUGGGCCUCGAUCCCACAAAAAAUAGUUAACAGCUAUUCACCUAAACCAGCAAGUAUCAAUUCA
rnacentral:tRNA from 1 species